UACGAAGGGGGCUAGCGUUGCUCGGAAUCACUGGGCGUAAAGCGCACGUAGGCGGAUUCUUAAGUCGGUGGUGAAAGCCUGGAGCUCAACUCCAGAACUGCCUUCGAUACUGAGAGUCUUGAGUCCGGGAGAGGUGAGUGGAACUGCGAGUGUAGAGGUGAAAUUCGUAGAUAUUCGCAAGAACACCAGUGGCGAAGGCGGCUCACUGGCCCGGUACUGACGCUGAGAAGCGAAAGCAUGGGGAGCGAACAGG
rnacentral:rRNA from 1 species